UACGAAGGGGGCUAGCGUUGCUCGGAAUCACUGGGCGUAAAGGGUGCGUAGGCGGGUCUUUAAGUCAGGGGUGAAAUCCUGGAGCUCAACUCCAGAACUGCCUUUGAUACUGAAGAUCUUGAGUUCGGGAGAGGUGAGUGGAACUGCGAGUGUAGAGGUGAAAUUCGUAGAUAUUAGGAAGAACACCAGUGGCGAAGGCGGCUCACUGGUCCGGUACUGACGCUGAGGUGCGACAGCGUGGGGAGCAAACAGG
rnacentral:rRNA from 1 species